GAUGAACGCUGGCGGCGUGCCUAAUACAUGCAAGUCGAGCGAACGGACGAGAAGCUUGCUUCUCUGAUGUUAGCGGCGGACGGGUGAGUAACACGUGGAUAACCUACCUAUAAGACUGGGAUAACUUCGGGAAACCGGAGCUAAUACCGGAUAAUAUUUUGAACCGCAUGGUUCAAAAGUGAAAGACGGUCUUGCUGUCACUUAUAGAUGGAUCCGCGCUGCAUUAGCUAGUUGGUAAGGUAACGGCUUACCAAGGCAACGAUGCAUAGCCGACCUGAGAGGGUGAUCGGCCACACUGGAACUGAGACCCGGUCCAGACUCCUACGGGAGGCAGCAGUAGGGAAUCUUCCGCAAUGGGCGAAAGCCUGACGGAGCAACGCCGCGUGAGUGAUAAAGGUCUUCGGAUCGUAAAACUCUGUUAUUAGGGAAGAACAUAUGUGUAAGUAACUGUGCACAUCUUGACGGUACCUAAUCAGAAAGCCACGGCUAACUACGU
rnacentral:rRNA from 1 species